UUAGAGUUUGAUCCUGGCUCAGAGCGAACGCUGGCGGCAGGCUUAACACAUGCAAGUCGAGCGGGCCCUUCGGGGUCAGCGGCGGACGGGUGAGUAACGCGUGGGAACGUGCCUUCCGGUUCGGAAUAACCCUGGGAAACUAGGGCUAAUACCGGAUACGCCCUUAUGGGGAAAGGUUUACUGCCGGAAGAUCGGCCCGCGUCUGAUUAGCUAGUUGGUGGGGUAACGGCCUACCAAGGCGACGAUCAGUAGCUGGUCUGAGAGGAUGAUCAGCCACACUGGGACUGAGACACGGCCCAGACUCCUACGGGAGGCAGCAGUGGGGAAUAUUGGACAAUGGGCGCAAGCCUGAUCCAGCCAUGCCGCGUGAGUGAUGAAGGCCUUAGGGUUGUAAAGCUCUUUUAUCCGGGACGAUAAUGACGUACCGAGAUAGGAGAG
rnacentral:rRNA from 1 species